ensembl:lncRNA
GUAUGUUUCUGGGGAAGACUGGAAAUACUUUUAACCUUCUCCUCACGGAAUGUAUGUAGGCUGCUCCGAAAGUAAUGCCUUCUAUUUAUUCCCAUGGAAGCUGCAACAGUUAUAAAGAGUACAAUAACACCGUUUGAUAGAACAAAUUCUCAGCUACAAAGCACUAUUUUUCAACAUGGUCGCCAUCAUUAGCUAUGCAUUUUCAUCCGUGAUGCACAAGAGCCUGUCCAGAACAUAGCUUAUCUUUCACGUUGCUGUUGAAAUGCACCACGCACCCACUCACUGUUCUCACAUCCACUGUUUUGUCUCCAUAAAUGUUCAGCAAGCGUCCAUGAAUGUCAGUGGGUGCCAUUUUUUCUGCGUGGAGAAAUCUGAUGAGACACCUUUCUUUCAUCCACCCUGCCUUGUCACAGACCAUUGUAUACGACUGUCCCUCUGCUGCCAUCUGUCACAUGGCAAUAACAUGUAACAGAAUAUUGGUAGGAAGGUUCAACCUCCACUGCCGUACCACCAGCAUCCACCUCUGAUGUUGUGGGCCAACAUAAUAAAGUAGGAGGCAUUACUUUUGGAGCAGGCCUUGCAUUUAGGGAGACAUUCGUCGAGGAUCAGUUUGACAUGGAUGCGUGAGGCAGGAAUUCAUGAAUUUCACCGUGUCGAACAUCCAGGUCUUGGUGCCUGUGAGAUGAGUUUUCUCUUCUAAACAGCGGAAGUUAUCUCCUCUCCGCCUUCUUUCUGCCUGCCUUUCGUCCCAGCAAGGCAGGAAACUGGCUUUGCUAAUUCUUUAGAGAUCUCUGUGGCUUCCUAUCACUUACCUACCAGGUCUUUCUCCAGUAAUCUAUGAAGUCUUCUGUGAUGACAAGUGAGAAAUCUGGUGAUUGCUGCACAUCAGGUAUCAGUCGUGGAAGGCACACUCUGGUCUGGGAGCUGGAGGCAGGAAGCUCCUUGGCCUGUAAUCCUACAUUUCUACUUUAACAGCACAUACAAUUUGAGAUAGCUGUGAGCAAACGAAGCUGAAGGUUGGAAUUCAUGAAAAGAGAAGCGUUGUUUUUGCUAAUUGGCUAACAUCUGAAGGGUUUGGCAAUGUGAUUACCAGCUGCUAUAGUCUGCAAUUGAUGUCACCUUCUCUUUGUAUAUAAACAUUAGUCAUUUGCUAAAGAAUGUGAAAAACAGGUGUUCCCUGUUCAUUGGAAACCUAUUCUUUUAAUGGGAUACUAUAAGAUAGCACCUGACAUAGAACAAUCCCUCGUAUGUUUGCUGUUAUUAACAUAAACACACUUGAACAGUUCCUUAUGCGGUGCCAUUGGUAUGCGUAGCACAGCAAAGAUAAACAAAAUGACAGAUGCCUAAACCAGAUGAAACUACAAUUAACCUAAUGACAGACAAAAAUAAAGGAAGUGUGGCAGGAAAAUGUGAAGGAACAUAAAAAUCACUGCAAGCUGCACUCGUUAGCUUUGUUUUUUUCUUUUUAAAGAAGUACUUCUACAGUUUGUAGCCAAUACAGGAAGUGAAGGUUGAAGCUGUAACCUUGCAGAGGGAAAUUUGGCUUCCAGACGUGACUCUUUGAAAAGGUUUUGGAAUACAGGAGUGCUCUGCACACAGGAUGAGAAAAGACAUUGAAGAAUAAGCAGUAUGCAUGGAAAAUAACCCACAGUGAUUAGCGGAAAAAGGGAAUAAAGCUAUGUCCCAUAGGCGUGCCCUCUGGAGAGCUUCAACUCAACCUUCUUAUCAGCUGUAGAGUGCAGCAGGAAAAUUGGUACUGUGGCUCUGUAUGCACUCAAACUGGUUUCCCCUGGCAAUCCUGGCAUUGGAUCUUGUGAAGGAAACACCUGGCCCUUGGACUACACAAAGUCUAACAUCAGAGGCGCCAAUCAGCACUGUGAUGUUAUGCAUUCCAAAAGCUGAGAGCGUCUGGCGAAUGAAGCAAGAAACUGCACAAAGGGAAAGUCUGGUGAUUCAGUCAGCUGCUCCAUGCCCAGAGAAGUGGCCUACGGCCCUGCCCUUCCCACAGCACUCUCCAUUCCUCAUGCUGGUGGCCAGCCAUCUACUACAGACAUUACUGAAGAGCAGUACUUGCAUCGUCGCCUUUAGGCAACUGAAAAGUAUGACUGACAUAAAAAUCCAGAGCUUUCAAAUCCAGAGGCCCUCAUUGCUGGUAGAAACAAGAGAGGGAAAUAUAUUCAUAUUCUAGACAGGCACUAGAGAGAGGUUCUCUGCUUAAAACUGGACUAAAUCUCCAGCUUCAUACGUCAACAUGAAGGGAGGAGUAACUCAGCACUGCUCUCUCCAGCAUCACAAGGCUCUGAAGGUACUGCCUCUGACAGACUUUUUUUCUCUGAGUGGAUGAGUUAUUGAUCAAGUAAGAGAUAAAAAAAAUAGGCACUUACUUUGUGCCACAUUGCUCUGAUCAGUGAUAGAAGCUCACUGCUGGAUACCGAUCUUAAUACAAUCUCAUGAACUCAGCAGAUCCUUUUCCUUAGUCUGCACUAAUGUCAUAUUAAGUGUCUUUGUGUUUUUUACCAUAUUAAGCAUUUCUGAAACUUGAAGAUUGAUUUUGGUUUGAUUUUAAAGGGCUGAGAGAUUUUAGAAUUAGAUUUUAAUAGCCAAUUAUAGAUUAUUAAACAGUGGAAAAAAUUUAAA